GGACUCAAAAAAUUCUGCAUCUAUUGUCUUUGUGCUGUAUAUUUAACUGGUGGCACAUCUGCCAGAUUUUAAUACCCAUCCAGCUGAGACAGGACUCUUAAAUCACUCCAGUCUGUGCCAACACAAGACAGGCCCCUUGGUGGCUGAGACCCAGAGGUCAAGGACAAAAUGUGGAGGGAGAAGAAAAGCAGCACUCCAGUUCUGAUGGAGUCUGAGGGAACAGCCUAAACAACCAGCUCAGGCUUCCAGUGGUUUGUUUAGCAGAUCAAGCAGCUGCUGCUACAAUUAACAUCACACAGCAUUCAAAGGACAGAGUGAAGAUUGACAGCUCCCAGCCAGCAAAAAGGAAAAAAAGACUGCUUGAGGACAUGCUCUGUUACAGACCCAAAUAACAUAAAGCCCUGCAGCAUUUGAGCUUGCUGCCCUGUCAGGGCUGAGGGGAAGACUCUUUCCUUUUAGUACUUGCCUCCUUUGGGAUUGGGACAGUGACACCAGCUCACCAAAGUACAGAAUCCUCUUCAGAUUAAAGCCCAGCCAUCAGAGACAGCAGUUUGUUGAUUCAUAUUAUUGCAAGCAUAGACUAUUCUGUGGCUCUACAGGAAUAUGGUAAGCUUCAAGUCAUGGUUAAACCUGCCAGUUACAUCAGGACCCAGACUUCAACCCCGAUGGGCUCUGAAAUUACUGGGGACAAGAUCUCGAGUGUCUUGUAGCUACCUGCACUGAGACAGAGCUGGUGCUUUGUUGGCAGCACUGUAAACUUACUCUUCAUUUAUUUCAAGGUGGAAGCACCUGAACUUUCUCACUUCAAGGAUGAACCAUACUCCAGUUUCUCCCACCUGGCUAUGUAAAAGCUUUUCUCAGGAUACCUAUCUGCACUCCAGAUUAUCCUGUCAAAACCAGACAUCCAGAAUGUCUCCUGAACAUGAUUUUGCAGAGCAUAAUUGGAAAUCCUACAUCUAUUUUUACAGUCAAUAUCAAGUACAGAUGUAGAUGCUUGAGUUUUAAAACAUAUAUUAUCCUUUUGAAGUUUUGCUUUAGAAGAGAAACAAAUUUUAAAAUGGACAUUAAUUUCAAAUUAUAUUUUUAUUAUCUAUUUAAACAGCAAAAUAUUGUUUUUAAAAAGGAAGAAGAAUGGUAACCUUAGCUAUAGCACAGUUAGCAUCAAUUUAUUCUCAGUAACCCUUAGAAUUACAAGGGACCAUUUAAGGAGGCUGCAUGUAACUGUCAGAUGGCAUAAUAGAAGGCUAUUUGUUGCCCACCAAAUGAUUUUACAUGGUGUCUAAAUUACACUAUAUUAGUUAAAGGAUAUACCUCAGUGAAGAAUUAGCUGAUUGACUACUCCUGCCUUUUAUCCCUGGAGGAAGUUUACAAGUUCUUGUCCCUCUCAAUGCACAAAUAAAACAAAUACUUCUACAAAAAGAUCUAUACCUGCAUUGACGUUUGCUAACAUUUUAUUUAGGAAUGCUGACACUUCUCCUAUAGUCCUGAGCUGACUGGGAGGAGAGACAAUGGAACAUAUGUAACUGAUGGUAAAGAGCAAAUCCAUUAUUUUUCAAAGAAAAGCCAAACUUCUGUAAGGGAAGACAAAAUAACAACACUGAAACAGGUAACGUAAUGCCUGAAAAUGAAUAGGAGACAAGGCCACAGCCUUCAAAGCAGUCUCUCUAAAGCACAUCUGGGCACUUAGAAGCAAGCAUGUGCAUUUUCUGAAAUACCAAUAUGCUUCAACCUCUCUACUAAACUGGGGAUUAUGCCCUGAUUCCACAGAACUCUUCAACACUUCCAACUCCACUCUCGUGCCUGUUGUUAGGAGCCCUGCACUCUCUUAACCAUCUGCAGUUCUGAGCACAGCAUCUAUCAAGCACCAACAAGGCCCCUGCUGCAGAAGCAGAUUCAGCUGGGUAACUUCAGCCUGGAAGGUUCAACAAGCUUCUCCUGCUAAUCUGGCUCAACUUGCAAAGGAAUCUAGUGCAACUCAAAAUUAACAAAGAUUACAUUAUUUUACAGCAUCAAUAGGCUAUAGAAGUUCUUUGUGACUGUAUCCUCAGUUCACCUCACAAGACAUUUCUUUGUGUUUCACUCAAAGCUUAUCUAUAUACAGUUAUUUAAACUCAUUGUAAAUAAGACACACAUUUUUGAAUAUUACUAGAAAUUACAUCUAUAAAAUACUGAAUAAAACCUUCAAAACAAAUGCAUAAAGAAGU